rnacentral:rRNA from 1 species
GGGGAAUAUUGCGCAAUGGGCGAAAGCCUGACGCAGCCACGCCGCGUGAGUGAUGAAGGCCUUCGGGUCGUAAAACUCUGUCGGGAGGGACGAAGGGGCAACCCUGACGGUACCUCGCAAGAAAGCACCGGCUAACUCUGUGCCAGCAGCCGCGGUAAUACAGAGGGUGCAAGCGUUGCUCGGAUUUAUUGGGCGUAAAGCGCACGCAGACGGUAUGGAAGGUCGGACGUGAAAUCCCUGGGCUCAACCUAGGAACUGCGUUCGAAACCACCAAACUAGAGUUCGGAAGAGGGAGGCGGAAUUCCUGGUGUAGAGGUGAAAUUCGUAGAUAUCAGGAGGAACACCAGCGGCGAAGGCGGCUUCCUGGUCCGAUACUGACGUUCAGGUGCGAAAGCGUGGGUAGCAAAC